UGGGGAAUUUUGGACAAUGGGGGAAACCCUGAUCCAGCCAUCCCGCGUGUGCGAUGAAGGCCUUCGGGUUGUAAAGCACUUUUGGCAGGAAAGAAACGUCGCGGGUUAAUACCCCGCGAAACUGACGGUACCUGCAGAAUAAGCACCGGCUAACUACGUGCCAGCAGCCGCGGUAAUACGUAGGGUGCAAGCGUUAAUCGGAAUUACUGGGCGUAAAGCGUGCGCAGGCGGUUCGGAAAGAAAGAUGUGAAAUCCCAGAGCUUAACUUUGGAACUGCAUUUUUAACUACCGGGCUAGAGUGUGUCAGAGGGAGGUGGAAUUCCGCGUGUAGCAGUGAAAUGCGUAGAUAUGCGGAGGAACACCGAUGGCGAAGGCAGCCUCCUGGGAUAACACUGACGCUCAUGCACGAAAGCGUGGGGAGCAAACAGGAUUAGAUACCCUGGUAGUCCACGCCCUAAACGAUGUCAACUAGCUGUUGGGGCCUUCGGGCCUUGGUAACGCAGCUAACGCAUUAAGUUCCCCCGCCUGGGGC
rnacentral:rRNA from 1 species